rnacentral:rRNA from 1 species
UUUUUCGAUCGCGAUGACGAUGGCGGUUCUCUACCAAUAACAUCACGAGAAGUUCAUUGAACCUUAUCAUUUAGAGGAAGGAGAAGUCGUAACAAGGCUACCGUAGGUGAACCUGCGGUAGGAUCAUU